rnacentral:rRNA from 1 species
AUACGAACCGUCCAAACGUUAUUCGGAAUCAUUGGGCUUAAAGGGUGCGUAGGCGGUGUGGUCAGUUGGGUGUGAAAUCCCUCGGCUCAACCGAGGAACUGCGCCCAAUACUGCCACACUCGAGGGAGACAGAGGUAAGCGGAACUGAUGGUGGAGCGGUGAAAUGCGUUGAUAUCAUCAGGAACACCAGUGGCGAAGGCGGCUUACUGGGUCUCUUCUGACGCUGAGGCACGAAAGCUAGGGGAGCGAACGGAAUUAGAAACCCCAGUAGUCC